AAGAAAGUGGCAGAGUGGUGACGUGGUUGGCUUGAAACCAGCUCACGGGGGUUCGAUUCCUCCCUUUCUCG
rnacentral:tRNA from 1 species